GGUCGAUUAGCUCAGUGGUUAGAGCUUAGAGCUUUUGACCUCCAAGGUCCCGAGUUAGAAUCUCGCCAGAGGUAG
rnacentral:tRNA from 1 species